AUGAGGAGAAAAAUAAGAUGCAGACUUGGUUUUAGAGACCUGCACAGUUUUAAUCUUGCUAUAUUAGCAAAACAGUACUGGCGACUAAUCCAGAACCCAGACUCUUUGUGCACACAAGUGUUGAGGGCAAAAUACUACCCGGAUGGUGGCAUUUUGAGAGCAAGUCCACAGAAAGGAUCAUCUUACACAUGGCAAAGCAUUGUUGCAGGUAUCCAGACAUUCAAGAGGGGCUAUAUUUGGCGUGUGGGAACGGGAUUGAACAUUGAUAUAUGGCAGGACCCAUGGAUUCCAUUGAGUGUGUCAAGAAGAGUUGUCACUGAGAGGGGUGCUACAAUGCUCUCGAAAGUUGAAGAAUUAAUAAACCCACACACAGGACAAUGGGACGAGGGUCUUAUCCGAGAUGCCUUCUCACCUGUUGAUGCCUACAGGAUUUUACAAAUUCGUUUGAAUGCCAAUAUGACAGAGGACUUUGUAGCGUGAAACUAUACACGUUCAGGCACUUUUUCUAUGAGGUCUGCUUAUCAUAAGGAAUUUGAGCAUCAACAUGGAACACGUCUGAUGAGAGCUGAUGGUCAAGGGAGACAACAAAUUAAUCUUGUGUGGAAUGAUAUAUGGAGACUGAAAAUACAAGGAAAGAUCAAGCAUUUUGCAUGGAAAGUUCUACACGGUGCACUCCCAUGCUUGGGAGCAUUAGCAAAUCGCCACAUUCCAUGUUCACCUCAAUGCCCGGUAUGCUUGAUUGGCGAUGAAGAUAUACAACACUGUUUGUUCAAAUGCUGACGAGCGACCAAAGUUUGGGAACAGUUGGGCUUACUGCAAGAUAUUUGGAGGGCUGUUUUGGAAGAUAGAUCAGGGUCUAUUACCAUGGAAAUUAUCUCCAAACUAAAAGGCGCUGAUGGAGAGAUACCAAGGGCAGAACUCAUUAUCAUAGCGGCACGGUAUAUAUGGUGGCAACAACGACAAACAGUGAAGGGGACACAAGUUCAGACCCCCGAGAAAACUGCACUAUCUAUCAAAGUGUUAGCAACGAAUUACAUGAGAUCACUCACGCCUAAAGGUCCAGUACGAAAGAGUGAUCACAUGUGGAAAAAACCAGGAAGUGGGAUGGUGAAGAUAAAUGUUGACGCCUUCUUUUAG
rnacentral:rRNA from 1 species